rnacentral:rRNA from 1 species
AUGCCUUACACAUGCAAGUCGAGCGGCAGCGCGGGGGCAACCCUGGCGGCGAGCGGCGCACGGGUGAGUAAUGCAUCGGAACGUGUCCUCUUGUGGGGGAUAACCAGUCGAAAGACUGGCUAAUACCGCAUGAGCACGAGAGUGGAAAGCGGGGGACCGUAAGGCCUCGCGCGAGAGGAGCGGCCGAUGCCGGAUUAGCUAGUUGGCGGGGUAAUGGCCCACCAAGGCGACGAUCCGUAGCUGGUCUGAGAGGACGACCAGCCACACUGGGACUGAGACACGGCCCAG